rnacentral:rRNA from 1 species
UAGUCCGCACGGUAAACGAUGGAUGCUCGCUAUCGGCGCUUGGCGUCGGUGGCAACGCGAAAGCUUUAAGCAUCCCACCUGGGGAGUACGCCGGCAACGGUGAAACUCAAAGGAAUUGACGGGGGCCCGCACAAGCGGAGGAACAUGUGGUUUAAUUCGAUGAUACGCGAGGAACCUUACCCGGGCUUGAAUCGCGGAAGGUUUAUCCGGAGACGGGUAUUCCCCUCGGGGCUUCCGCG